GAAAUUGCUUCCGUUUGCGACCUCUGAGGGACCGGAUGGUGGCAUUUUGAUUAAUUUGCACUACAUGGAUGAGAAGCAUAGUUUCACUCCUGUUCAAAUUAUGGCAAUGCUAUUUGCACAUUUGAAGCAAAUUGCUGAGAAGAAUCUGGAAACGGAUGUUUCAGAUUGUGUUAUUGGCAUACCUUCAUACUUCACAGAUUUACAGAGACGUGCUUAUUUGAAUGCAGCAGAAAUCGCUGGGUUGAAGCCAUUGCGAUUGAUGCAUGAUGGCACUGCAAC
rnacentral:misc_RNA from 1 species